rnacentral:misc_RNA from 1 species
AUAUUUACAUUUAUUGGCAAUAAUAUAAAUGCAAAACAGAAGACUUGGAAUAAAGAUAAUAGAAACUUCUGGACUUCAUUUCAAUUUUCGUUAUUUAAACAUAUGUCAGUCUUAUAAAUGUGUGGUAGGAAGGGACCUCAAGAUUAAUCUACUUUUAAGAGAAACACUUUCUAAUCCAAAUGAUGUAUCUGCAUGCCAUUGAGGGAGGAGGGAUUGGGAUUUUUUUUUUCUUGUUCAUGUAACCGCACAAAAUAGCAUGGGCAUAGAAUAACUAUUCCAUUGUUAAGUACCAACAUUUUACAAUCUUGAUGACAUUUCAAGAAUAUAUACAGCUGACCCCAACUAGUUUGCAA